ACACCGGCUAAUACCCUUUUCUCGCAGGUAACGUUUCGGACAAGAAUCUACCACUGUAAUAUUAACAGCCAAGGCGUCAUCUGCCUGGACAUUUUAAAAGACAACUGGAGCCCAGCAUUAACCAUUUCUAAAGUCCUCCUCUCCAUCUGCUCCCUCCUUACAGACUGCAACCCGGCUGACCCCCUGGUUGGAAGUAUUGCCACUCAGUAUAUGACUAACAGAGCAGAGCAUGACAGAAUGGCCAGACAAUGGACCAAAAGAUACGCUACAUAAAUUGGAUUUUCGUCAAACUCUUACAUUAUUUGUCUGUGAUGGAAAGAGCUGCUUAUGAUUUUGAAGGGGUGGGGGGAGGGAGGGUGCUGGUAAAGAGUAGGGUAUUUCUAUAACAGAUUUUAUUCAGUCUUUUAUUUCUUAAGAUUUUGUUGUUGUAACUUAAGGUAUCUUGCUACAGUAGACAGCUAGGAUUGGGAAUAGCAUAUUUUAAGACUGUAAUUAGUUCAGCAAUAUUAGCUCACAUAUAGUACCGAGAAGAAUGUAAACCUCUUAGACUUCUUUGGUUUUCAGUUUGCUUGCAAUAUGUAAAAGAUUAAAAUAGCUUAAUUUUGUACAGGUACAUAUGUUGACAUUUAUGUAAAAGUCCUUUCAAGACUCUACACACUGUUUUUGCUUUUUGUUUUUUUGUUUUUUGGUUUGGGGGGGUUAUUUUGUUCUGGGUUGGGCUUCUUGGUUUUUUUUGUAAAAAAAUGUCAGGAUUGUUUUCCCCUAUGGAGGGCACAUUGGUAUUUAACAAAUCCUUUUUAAAGACUGUCAUCUCAUGAUCUGUGAUACGGAGAGGUGGAUAUAUGGCCUCAUAUAUGAAAUGAGAAGUAGUUAAUGUAUUAUUUUAUAAGCCAAUCUAUCUUUGUGAAAAGAAUAAAGGGUUUAAUCAGGACUUAUGGUAACCUGUAGUGAAAUACCUUAAGCUGUUUAACUGUAAGGCGUGGAAUAGGAGUCACUCAGUGGAUUGGUUGUAUGUUGUGGGCUACUCAAGUCUGCAUUUGUUACUGUGCUAAUAAAAAGAUGUU